UACGAAGGGAGCUAGCGUUGUUCGGAUUUACUGGGCGUAAAGCGCACGUAGGCGGAUUGUUAAGUCGGGGGUGAAAUCCUGGAGCUCAACUCCAGAACUGCCUUCGAUACUGGCAAUCUCGAGUCCGGAAGAGGUAAGUGGAACUCCUAGUGUAGAGGUGGAAUUCGUAGAUAUUAGGAAGAACACCAGUGGCGAAGGCGGCUUACUGGUCCGGUACUGACGCUGAGGUGCGAAAGCGUGGGGAGCAAACAGG
rnacentral:rRNA from 1 species